rnacentral:rRNA from 1 species
ACUGUUGGGACCGCUCUAGCUAAAGAGGAGGAAGGAAUGGGCAACGGUAGGUCAGCAUGCCCCGAAUUAUCUGGGCUACACGCGGGCUACAAUGGGUGGGACAAUGGGUAUCGACACCGAAAGGUGAAGGCAAUCUCCUAAACCCAUCCUUAGUUCGGAUUGUGGGCUGCAACUCGCCCACAUGAAGCUGGAAUCUGUAGUAAUCGUGUUUCAAAAUAGCACGGUGAAUAUGUCCCUGCUCCUU